AGCAUUUUUGUUGGUUCCCAUCUUCAGGUGGAUCACUCAAGUGUUCAGUAGAGGGCCUGUUGAUAAGCUUGAAUCGAUUAUUUUUUGUUAAUAUUGAUACACGCUACUGCAUGGACUUCAUUUACAUGUGACUGCUGGGAUAACAUAUAAACUGUUCGAAACAAAACAUGUCAGGAAGAAUGAACCGAUUGGACUGGUGUUUUCAGAUUUCACUGGCCAUAUUAUUUGGAUCCUUGGCCAAUACAACAAAUGGUUAUAACGAGACGCUUAUAGCAACGUGGGCGGGGACAUUGGUCAAUUCACCAGGAUUUAUAUACGGCCUCAAAUACGGACCGUAUGUACCUACUACACAUU